UGGCUGGAAUCCCUGAGAGAUUGGGGAGUGCUCGAAAGAGAACCAGUACACAGGUGCUGCAUGGCUGUCGUCAGCUCGUGUCGUGAGAUGUUGGGUUAAGUCCCGCAACGAGCGCAACCCUUGUCAUUAGUUGCUACGAAAGGGCACUCUAAUGAGACUGCCGGUGACAAACCGGAGGAAGGUGGGGAUGACGUCAAGUCCUCAUGGCCCUUAUGGGUAGGGCUUCACACGUCAUACAAUGGUACAUACAGAGCGCCGCCAACCCGCGAGGGGGAGCUAAUCGCAGAAAGUGUAUCGUAGUCCGGAUUGUAGUCUGCAACUCGACUGCAUGAAGUUGGAAUCGCUAGUAAUCGCGGAUCAGCAUGUCGCGGUGAAUACGUUCCCGGGUCUUGUACACACCGCCCGUCACACCAUGGGAGCGGGUUUUACCAGAAGUAGGUAGCUUAACCGUAAGGAGGGCGCUUACCACGGUAGGAUUCGUGACUGGGGUGAAGUCGUAACAAGGUAGCCGU
rnacentral:rRNA from 1 species